AUUGAACGCUGGCGGCAGGCCUAACACAUGAAAGUCGAGCGAGCGGCGGCCGGGUGAGUAAGGUUUGGGGACUGCCCCCUAGAGGGGGAUAACUACUGGAAAUGGUAUCUAAUACCGCAUACUAUCGGAUAACCCAUAUGGGAUUAGCUAGUUGGCGGGGUAAUGGCUCACCAAGGCGACGAUCCCUAGCUGGUCUGAGAGGAUGAUCAGCCACACUGGGACUGAGACACGGCCCAGACUCCUACGGAGGCAGCAGUGGGGAAUAUUGCACAAUGGGCGCAAGCCUGAUGCAGCCAUGCCGCGUGUAUGAAGAAGGCCCUAGGGUUGUAAAGUACUUUCAGUCGGGAGGCGUUACCGACAGAAGAAGCACCGGCUAACUCCGUGCCAGCCGCCGCGGUAAUAC
rnacentral:rRNA from 1 species